GUUCCUGGGCUAGAGGUCAAAUCAGAGCUGCAGCUGCCAGCAUAUGCCACAUCCACAGCAACACCGGAUCUGAGCUGCACCUGCGACUUACACAACAGCUUGAGGCAACACUGGAGCCUUAACCCACUGAGCAAGGCCAGGGAUCGAACUCGCAUCCUCAGAGAGACAGUACUGGUUCUUAACUCCCCGAGCCACAACGGGAACUCCUCCUUUCUGAUCUUUAUUAUUUCCUUGCUUCUGCUGACUUUAGGUUUUGUUUGUUUUGUUUUGUUUUUUCUAAUUCUUUUAGGUGGUAGGUUAGGUUGAUGAUUUGAGAUUUUUCUUCUCUUUUGAGGAAGGCUCCUAUCGCUAUGCACUUCCCUCUAACAACUGCUUUUUCGGCAUCCCAUAGAUUUUGUAUGGUUUUGUUUUCACUGCCAUUUGUCUCAAGGUAUUUUUUAGUUUUCUUUUUUGAUGUCCUUGUUGACCAACUGGUGUUUUAAUAACAUGUUGUUCGGUCUCCAUGUAGUCAAUUUUUUUCUCAUUUCUUUUCCUGUGGUUGAUUUCUAGUUUCAUGUCAUUGUGGUCAGAGAAGAAGCUUGAAAAAAUUUCUAUAUUCUUAAAUUUGCUGAGGUGAGUUUUGUGCCCCAGUAUGUGGUCAAUCCUAGACAAUGUUCCAUGUGCACUUAAAAGAAUGUAUAUUCUGGUUUUCUUAGAUGUAAUGUCCUGAAAAUAUCAAUUAAGCCUAACUGUUCUGUUGUGUCAUUCAGAAUCUGUUGCCUUAUUGAUUUUCUGUCUAGAGGGUCUGUCCAUUGAUGCGGAUGGGGUGUUAAAGCCUCCUACUAUUAUUGUAUUCCCAUCAAUUUCUCCUUUUACGUCUGUUAGUAUUUGUUGUGUCUUUGGGUGCUCCUAUAUUAGAGGCAUAUAUAUUGAUGAGUAUAAUAUCCUCUUCUUAAAUUGAUUCUUCUCUAAAGACAGUCUUUUAAAAUCACAGAUAAGAUCACAAAAAAACUUUAUAAAAUCUACUCUCUUAAAUUUUAUUAAAUUCAGACAAAAUACUUACAACUUAGCAUCUAUAGCGAGCACAAACUACAUACUUUUGCUUACUGUUCGUAAAGAUUAUGGAGAUGCUAAAUUCAAAGAUUUCUAGGCUGAGGAACUUAAAUGGAAGAUAACAACAUUAAAUGGCAUAGGAACUAUAUGAGUGAGUACAAAUGUGAGGGAGACUGCUAGAUAAGGAGCUCCUGUCGUGGCUCAUGGGUUAAGGAUCCAGCAUUGCCGUGAGCUGUGGUGUAGGUUGCAGACGUGGCUCGGAUAUGGUGUUGCUAUGGCUCUGGCGUAGGCCUGUGGCUACAGCUCCGGUUCAACCCCUAGCCUGCAAACCUCCAUAUGCCGUGGGAGCGGUCCAAGAAAUGGCAGAAAAACAAACAAACAAAAAAAGACAAAAAAAAAAAAACCACUACCAGUUCAAAAUGUACACACGAAAACCUGAAGAAAGAACAAAACCCAAAUCUGCCUAUCAAACAUAAAUGAGAACUUGAGGGAAAAUCUAGACAAAAGUCUUAUGAACAAUAAAAUAUAAAGGGAUUGUGAAAAAAGAACCGAAAAUAUUUCCUGCAAUCAAAGCACAUACAUUUCCAUCACUCAACAGACUGAAAUCAACAAACAUGUAUUAAGCAAUUUGCCGCCCUCAGGAAUAUCCAGUUCUACUACAAGAGCCAAGAUAAACCAACUAGUAACUAGGAUACCAAGCUCCAUAGGAGCCUGACAAAGAGACAGCAAAGCCUAUUUCUUGCCAGGCCAAGGGAGCACCACAAGGUAUAGUGGGGAUGCUUUUCAGGUGUGAGUACAAACAAGAUGGCCACAAAUUGAGAUUCAUUCAUCUAGCAAGACUGAAGUAAUGAAACUAUGUUUUAAUAAGCUGAAUGCACAAACUAUCGAGAAUCUCUUUCGUGGAAAAUACUAUGUCACAUGCUAUAAGGGAACACAAUAUUUUUGACAUAUCCUAGGCUUUAAAAUGCAUUUGGGAAACAAAUGAUACAUACUGUAAUGUGAAUUCCCCAAGGGCAACUGGUAUGUCCUUUUUAUCUUUGUAUUCACAUCUCCUUGCACAAGGCCUGCAAAAUCCCUGGCACUAAAUAAAUGUCUGGCAAAUAAAGGAAUAAACAAAUGACUAUAGUACAAACCAGAAUAUUAUAGGUGCCACUGAUCACCAAUAUCAGAGAAGUUUAGCAGAGGACAGCACACUGGCAACAGGGCAGGCAAGGAGGGUGAAGGUAUCCAGCAUUCAUCCCCAUGUUCCUCUGGCAGGCAUCUCUUCCUCAUUAUCCCUUGGAGCUAACUCCAGGGAUGGGCAUGGGACCUAGGCCCAGCAAAUCCAAACAUUACAUCCCCUUGGUUACAGCAAAUGCACUCCUGAUGGAAGCCAUGCUAAUUAGACACAAUCACAGCUAAUCUUGGGAAUUCUGCUUAAGCCACCAAAAUAGACCAGUUCUCUUUCAUGUUGGAUUUGGAGCUGAAAGGAUGAAAACUUAGAGCCUGUGACCAGUCUGGCCAUCACAACAGGAGAGCUUAUCUGAGAAUGGAAGUGUCUCACGGAAAGAAGGUCUGGCAAGAGAGGGAUACCAGAUCCUAAUGACAUCUUUUGAGCCCCUGGGUUUAGCACUGCUAAAGGAGGCAGUUUUCAGUGUGUAGCAAACACAUCCCUUUUUCACUUCAUUUAGUAUCAAGCCAGGUUUUCAAUCAUACAAAACUGUAAGAGUUUGCAUGCAAAGAUGGAAUUUGAACAGAUCACUGAAGAAUGUGGUGGGUUUUCAAUAGGGAACGAGAUUCCGAGUGGAAAGAACUGUACAAACAAUAAGAUAGAGAAAAGAAACAGAAGACUACUUCAGUUACAAUGACUUUAAAAAAUCUACAGCUCAAGUUUCGGUUUAGAUUAAAUCUGAAAGAACAGGUUGGGGUUAGCCGAGCGGGCUGGGUAUGGCAACUUAGCGUGAGUGCUCACACUUCACUAAAAGGAGUAGCUUGCUAUCCAGCUCAAGCAAAUUGUGAAACAGUGCAGCCACAUCCAUCUCCCUCUCCCUCUCCCUGUCCCUGCCUCUCUCCCUCUUCCUCUCCUUCUCCUCCCUCCCUUCUUCUCCAAGACAGAUAAAGAGAGUCAGACACACACACAUAGAGUUGGUUCUGUUUCUCUGAAGAAUCCCAAUGAUACAGGGAACUGAGCAAGCAGUUUAUGAAAAUACUUUUUAUACUAUAUGUAUUGAGAGGGAUUUUAAAAUAAUUUUGUAGGAGGAAAGUAACUGUUAUGUUUAUAUACCAUGGCCUAGAAUCCAAUUGGAAAAAAAAUCAAGUCCAGGAUAUGCAAUGAUAGUCUAUAAUCUAAAACAAAACUUAGCAUCACAAAGUUAUUUCUUAAGUGAUUUAGAUCAAAAUAUACUUAGCACAUAAAAAAGCAUAAUAAUUUUCCAAUAAAUAAAAUCCUAUGUCACAGUAUUAAAUAAUGGUGUUACAUACCAGAUGACACCAAUAACUAACAAAACAAGCUACAAUAUAAAAUACAUUUGAAUGAACUCCUAUUGACCACAUAUACAAAAGAAAUGCAACAGUAAAAACCCGUAUAAAGCAAAAUAAGUUUGAAAAAAAUUCCUAUGGAGGUAACCAUACUACAUGUAGAAACAUAUGUCAGUUAAAAGGAAAAAACUAGCUCAAAGGACAAGAAAAAUAAGGAGUUUGAAAAAAUACUCCUGUAAUGUGCUUACAUGCCAUAAAACACUAUUUCUCUGAAAAUAUAACUGAAACAAGCAGUUUUGCCAAGGCUUGGGCUGAAAUGAGCAAGCAACAGAAAACUGAAAAUAUAACUUUAAAAAGAUUUCAAUGAACACAUAAGCAGAAAAAAAUAGGAAAAAAGUAUCAUCAAGAUUUUUUUUUUCACCUUCAAAAUCAAGUGAUCAUAGCCCAAAGCCUAAAGC
rnacentral:lncRNA from 1 species